rnacentral:rRNA from 1 species
UACGAAGGGUGCAAGCGUUAAUCGGAAUUACUGGGCGUAAAGGGUGCGUAGGCGGUUGUUUAAGUCUGCCGUGAAAUCCCCGGGCUCAACCUGGGAAUGGCGGUGGAUACUGGGCAGCUAGAGUGUGUCAGAGGAUGGUGGAAUUCCCGGUGUAGCGGUGAAAUGCGUAGAGAUCGGGAGGAACACCAGUGGCGAAGGCGGCCUUCUGGACCAAUACUGACGCUCAUGCACGAAAGCGUGGGGAGCAAACAGG